CAAAUGCUGUGUGAGAGAGGUCGGUACUUGGCAGCUUGGAGGUCUUAUGGGGCACAGUUAACCCUGUGCAUGUUAGGAAAGUGACCUCUUGUGCAACACCUCUCAUCAUCUCAGCACACCUUUUACUCCAGCUAUUGCCAUGGCAACAAGCUUCACACAAGUGCAAACUGACAGCACCGUGCAUCUCUCCCUUUCUGCAUCAGGGCUCCUCAGGCUCAAGCACAACCUGGAAAAACGAAGGUGUUAAUGUUCCAUGAGGCAACUGAUGACCAAUGGGGAGCAGGAGCUGGUGAAUGAAUGUUCCCUUCAUCCAUCCUGCAGCUUCUACAUUGUUCUUCAUCUCUGGGAAAUCAGUGACCCAUGGACUGGACAAUAACUUUGAGCCAUGCAGUCAAAAUAAAAUGGAAUAUUUAAGUGAAAGAUCAGGUUCUGGAAAAUAAAACUGCUCGUAGCUGCAUAUUAUCUACCGAACUUAGGUGGAUUCUCAGAAAGAAAAAGGUGAUGUUCACUGGCAUGAACAGUGAAUGGUGGAGUGGAACGUGAACAGGCUGGAGCUCUGGCUGUGCCAUUUAUUAGCCAUGUGCCUUUAGAAGGUCCUCAUCUUCUCCAGCCUCAGUUUCACCAUCUGUAAUGGAGUAUCCAUGACCCAGAGAGAGUAUCAGUGUCAAGAAUCUGCCAGUGAGAAAGUGAUUUGAAGCAGCUCUGGAGUUCAGAUGGCCACGGGUGCAAGUGCCUGCUCUGGUGUGCUUUGCCUCUGGAAAGAUGCCAAGUCUUUGAGAAUCUUUGCUGCAUCAGCCAUGCUACAUCCUGAGGACUUGGAGCCAAACUCCUUGCAGUAUUUGUCUACACAACCUGUCUCUACUUCCUCACCUCCCACUCAAUCCUCCUGAUGGUGCAGCCUUUAAAAACCGUGUUGAAUACUUGGAGUCUGGAAGAAGCAAGGUAAAGAGAGCAAAGGUUAUUUUCACCCUGAAGAGACAGCCUUUAGAGAAGUACAGCCAGGGAGUGAUCGAGUCCCCUAACAAAGACACUUUGGUGAACCAAGAAUGGGAUGGCCCCGACUAGAGUUGGUCUUCACUGCCAGAUGUCCAAUCUAUCUUCACAGCACAUUGGGCAGAACCCACAGUUCUCUCAUCUCAUGACAUACAUGCAUGCAGAUCCCUCCUGAAUUAUGAGCCCUUUUCCUGGCAGCACCAGACUCCAGAUCAAGCCUAGUACAGCCAGAGCCAGUCUCUCUGUGCCCUUCCAAUCAACAGCCUUCUCUGCAAUAAGGAGGGGACCCAUGGCUUCAGUGAGGCCCAAGCAAUACCAAGAAGAGAAGAAGGAUAUGAAGCUACAGCCUGAACUAAGACUGGGUCCUUGCAGCUCUCCAACACAUGAUUGCUGCCUGCCAGAACCACAGACCUUUCUCGGGACUGGCACGAAUUUCAGCCAACAGAGCCUGCACAGAAACACAUGGAAAAGGCUUCCGGUGGAGCUUACUCUUGAAUGAGCACCUUUAUCUGCAAAUUGAUCUGGUUGUAGCAUCCCUUGACCAUAAAAACACCAUAAAUAGGAUUUCUGAUGUCCAUUUUAUAGAUGAAGAAGGAAGGUUUAGCAAGGCCAUUCAAGGAUACACAGCUAGAGGACGAGAUGGAAUUGAAGUCCCUUUGUCAGCAUCCUUUUCAUUCUUGAUGCCAUUUCAUUUCCCCUCCUGGUAUGUUUUGUUAUGCAGUUAGCUUAGGCCUAAUUUUAUAUAACCAAUUAUAAACUGUGAAAUAGGAUUCUGGUAUGAAUUUCCUAUUCUUCUCCCACUAAGCAACUGAUGAAUCCCUUCGUGGUCAGAUGUGACGAAUGGGAUUGUUUCUGUUCUACUAUGGUUUGAAUUUCUACCUUGAUAAUUACACAAAAACACUAUCAACAAAGGUGGACGCCAGGUAAACACUGCUCCCUCCUAAAUGCUUCUAUGGCUGAGAUCCAUUCUCUUGCUCUUUUUCUCCUUUCUUCAAGAACAGAUGUUCAUAUUCUUUGCCAAUUUUUCUACUGAGUUAUAAGAACACAUUAUAUAUUAAGAAAAUUAGUCCUAUUUAUUUGUCUUAUAGGUUAGAAAUAUUUACCUGUUGGUCAAUGGUCUAUCAUCUGAAUAUAUAGUAUUUUUGGGGGCCUCUGCAUAAUAGUUCUGUAUUAUUUUUUAGGAAAGCCUUCCCACUCCAAGAGAAAAACUAUUAUACAAAUGAUACAACCUGCUAUGGAAAAAAGAGAAAUAACAGAUAAGUAUACAAAGAAAAUACAAGAAAAACAUGAACAGUAAUAAUCUUAUCCAAAUGUUACUGAGAUAUUUUUGGAGUACUUAAUUUCAAUCUUUUUCCUAUAUGCAAACACACACAACUUUUCUCUAACAAAAAUCAGAUCAUACUGUACUAGCAAACACCCUACCUGAAAUCUGUAUAUCCAUUGCCUAUUGAUUAUGCCCAUUGCUUAACAUACUAUGUUUUAUUUAAUCAUUAUUUAAUUGUUGAGUAUGCAAGUUAUUUCUGAGUUUUCACUCAAGCUGUUUACGCUUAUUUCUGUCUGGGUGUGAAUGAAUCUUUGGCACAUUCCUCUAGCAAGUUGAUCAACAUCUGGUCUAAGAUAUUCUUCGGUGUUGGGUUUGUGCUGUCCACAUCAGCUUAGCAAUGUCUGCACAAAGACUCCUUCCCCCUCAAAAGUGCCAUUCAGACUUGCUGUGGGUAUAAGGGGAACAAUCUCAUUGAGGAGAAAGUUGUCAUUGUGGUUGAGAACAUGAACUUUGGAAUUGGAUAGAGCUGUGUGAAUUUGGCCUAAACUCCGAGUCUGCUUCCACAUCUGUAAAAUGUAGACACAAAUAGUUACUCAUAAGGUUCUGGUGGGGAUUAAAUGUGGUUAUACCUGUAAAGUCCUUAGCAUUAUGCCCAGCACAUAGUGAAGAUGUUCGAUAAAUGAUAACUAAACAAACAUUGUGUCCCCUCCCACUACAACCACACUGCUCUCCCUCACCUUACAGACUUUGCUGCUUGACAAUCUUGGGGUGGGGCUGCUGAAAACUGAAUCUCAAUUUAGGAAGCCAUGUUGUCCCAGGAUUAGGGUUAUUGGCCUCACAUAAGAAUCUCCAAAUCUGCAGAAUCUCAGGCCCCACCCAAAAACUAUUCAAUCAGAAACUACAUUUUCAAAAGAUAUCCCAGAUGAUUUGUAUGCAUAGUAAAGUUUGAGAAGGUUUUAGUCCAGGUAUUCAGGAAGUGAUGCUGGUUGUGUAUGGAGGACAGGGGCCCAGGAACUGAUGAAAUCUCUAGUUUGGAAUUCUCGAUAGCAUUUGCAUUCUUUUUUUUUUUUUUUAUCUCAAAUCCAUCACUCAGUAGCAAUGUGAUCUUCACAAAGCUCCCUUUACUUUUACCACCAUAGUGUUGUAGGAGAAGCUCUAUCUUCCAAGUCAGACAGAUCUGGGCUUCAAUUCCAGCUUUGUUAACUGGAGGACUUAUUAUUAGCUGGGAGGACUUGCGACAAAUCAUACCAACUUUCUGAGCCCAGUUUCCUUCCCUGUAAAAUGUAGAUAAUACACCUUUCUUGAGGUGUUACUAGAGAUAACCAAUGAUAAAGUGUUUGGGAAAUCUGGCAUAUCGUAGGGGUACAAUGAGUAAGUGGUUUGACUCCAAAGACCUGAGUUUGGAUCUCAGCUCCACAACUCACUUGGCUGAUUGCUUUCUUUCCCUGGACUCAAGUUUCAUCAUCUGUAAAACUGGCAUUUCAACCAAAUAACUUCUGAAGUCUCUCCCUCCUUUAAAGCUUGAUAUUACAAGGGCAAAUUUUAGUACAAAUAUCCAAAUCCUAACGGUAACUCACAAUUACAAAAGAGCUGAGUCUGUCAUUCACCUGUCAAAUUAUCUAAACUGCGUCUCAGUCAGGAGAUGUGAAAAGAAGGAUGGAUUUUCUAUGAAUGUUUUCUUUUUUUUUUUU
rnacentral:lncRNA from 1 species